rnacentral:rRNA from 1 species
UACGGAGGGUGCAAGCGUUGUCCGGAAUUAUUGGGCGUAAAGGGUUCGUAGGCGGUUUGUCGCGUCCGUUGUGAAAGCUUGGGGCUCAACCCCAAGUCUGCAGUGGAUACGGGCAGACUAGAGUCAGGUAGGGGAGAGCGGAAUUCCUGGUGUAGCGGUGAAAUGCGCAGAUAUCAGGAGGAACACCGGUGGCGAAGGCGGUUCUCUGGGCCUGUACUGACGCUGAGGAACGAAAGCGUGGGGAGCAAACGGG